UACGAGAGGCCCAAACGUUAUUCGGAUUUACUGGGCUUAAAGGGUGCGUAGGUGGCGCCGUAAGUCAGGUGUGAAAUUUCGGAGCUUAACUCCGAAACUGCAUUUGAUACUGCGGUGCUUGAGGACCGGAGAGGAGACUGGAAUUUACGGUGUAGCAGUGAAAUGCGUAGAUCGUAAGGAAGACCAGUGGCGAAGGCGGGUCUCUGGACAGUUCCUGACACUGAGGCACGAAGGCCAGGGGAGCAAACGGG
rnacentral:rRNA from 1 species